rnacentral:rRNA from 1 species
AUUGAACGCUGGCGGCAUGCCUUACACAUGCAAGUCGAACGGCAGCACGGGGGCAACCCUGGUGGCGAGUGGCGAACGGGUGAGUAAUGCAUCGGAACGUGCCCAGUAGUGGGGGAUAACCCGGCGAAAGCCGGGCUAAUACCGCAUACGACCUACGGGUGAAAGCGGGGGACCGUAAGGCCUCGCGCUAUUGGAGCGGCCGAUGUCUGAUUAGCUAGUUGGCGGGGUAAAGGCCCACCAAGGCGACGAUCAGUAGCUGGUCUGAGAGGACGACCAGCCACACUGGGACUGAGACACGGCCCAGACUCCUACGGGAGGCAGCAGUGGGGAAUUUUGGACAAUGGGCGCAAGCCUGAUCCAGCCAUGCCGCGUGCGGGAAGAAGGCCUUCGGGUUGUAAACCGCUUUUGGCAGGAACGAAACGGCGCAAGCUAAUACCUUGCGCUAAUGACGGUACCUGCAGAAUAAGCACCGGCUAACUACGUGCCAGCCGCCGCAGUAAUAC